rnacentral:rRNA from 1 species
AUUGAACGCUGGCGGCAUGCUUUACACAUGCAAGUCGAACGGUAACAGGCCGCAAGGUGCUGACGAGUGGCGAACGGGUGAGUAACGCAUCGGAACGUGCCCAGUCGUGGGGAUAACGCAGCGAAAGCUGCGCUAAUACCGCAUACGAUCUAUGGAUGAAAGCGGGGGACCGUAAGGCCUCGCGCGAUUGGAGCGGCCGAUGUCAGAUUAGGUAGUUGGUGGGGUAAAGGCUCACCAAGCCGACGAUCUGUAGCUGGUCUGAGAGGACGACCAGCCACACUGGGACUGAGACACGGCCCAGACUCCCACGGGAGGCAGCAGUGGGGAAUUUUGGACAAUGGGCGCAAGCCUGAUCCAGCAAUGCCGCGUGCAGGAUGAAGGCCUUCGGGUUGUAAACUGCUUUUGUACGGAACGAAAAGCCCUGGGUUAAUACCCUGGGGUCAUGACGGUACCGUAAGAAUAAGCACCGGCUAACUACGUGCCAGCCGCCGCCGUAACAC